AUUACGCACGGGAUGCACGACGGUUGGAUAUACCUAUAUCAUUUAUUGAACAACUUAUUUUGACUUGAAAGGAUAUUGCAUGCAGAUCAUAAUAUAAUACAAUUAAUAUAAAUACAGAUAAUCAAGUUUCAAAGACCAUAUAUAUACAUCAUGUAUAAUGUUUAGAAGAAGUAAUAUUUGACAUCACCUUUAUGAGAAUCAAGUUUAUAAGACCACAUAUUAAGAUACAGGAAAUUUACAUUUAUUCUCGCUGUAAAGAGAAUCAAGUUAAGAAGACCUUAAUUAUUUACAUUAAGAUACAGGAAAUUUAUAUUUAAUCUUGUUGUUGAGAGAAUCUGCAACCUUAGAAGACCAUAUAUUUAUAUUAGAUACAGAAAAUUUAUAUUUUACCUCACUGUUAAGUAAUAUAUUGGAAUGAACUGGAGGGCCAAAUAGAGAACACAAACCUUGAAAAGUAUGACUUAACAGUGAAUGAAUUGAAAAAAGACAUAAGUGAAGGGACUUUAAAGAUUAUGUAAGUGUUCUUCAAUAACUAUAAAUUGAAAUAAUUUUAGAUGUUAUCUUUUGAAAUUACAAGGAAAACUUGGACAUGUAGGAGUAUGUCCAUGAAGGACUCAAAAUGACCCUUAAAA